CGCGUAGGCGGGAUGGCAAGUCGGUCGUGAAAUCCCUGGGCUCAACUCAGGGGGGUCGGCCGAUACUGCCAUUCUUGAGGGAUGCAGAGGAGACUGGAAUUCCCGGUGUAGCGGUGAAAUGUGUAGAGAUCGGGAGGAACACCGGUGGCGAAGGCGGGUCUCUGGGCAUUCCCUGACGCUGAGGCGCGAAAGCGUGGGGAGCAAACGGGAUUAGAUACCCCGGUAGUCCACGCGGUAAACGAUGACGACUAGGUGUGGGGGGGUUAAGUCCCUUCCGUGCCGCAGCUAACGCAUUAAGUCGUCCGCCUGGGGAGUACGGCCGCAAGGUUGAA
rnacentral:rRNA from 1 species